rnacentral:rRNA from 1 species
UACGUAGGGUGCAAGCGUUAAUCGGAAUUACUGGGCGUAAAGCGUGCGCAGGCGGUUCGGAAAGAAAGAUGUGAAAUCCCAGGGCUUAACCUUGGAACUGCAUUUUUAACUGCCGGGCUAGAGUAUGUCAGAGGGGGGUAGAAUUCCACGUGUAGCAGUGAAAUGCGUAGAGAUGUGGAGGAAUACCGAUGGCGAAGGCAGCCCCCUGGGAUAAUACUGACGCUCAUGCACGAAAGCGUGGGGAGCAAACAGG